rnacentral:lncRNA from 1 species
UUUCCCAUAUCUUGUAUACAAAGGCAUCUCACUUUCUUUAUACCUUGUAAGCAAUCAGAACAUUGAGAAGCUCUACAAAAUCCAUAUAUUCAUUUUCCAUGUAUUGAAUACAAUUAGCAUUCUUACAAUACAAAUAUGUCAAGCCAUCACCUAAAAAUUGUGACUCCUACAAAAUCAAAACGUUUAGCAAGCCUUCAAUUAGCAAUUAGCAAGACUUAUAACCAGAACGUUUAGCAAGCCCAACAAAACGUGAAUUCUUGCAACUAAAAUCCAACGUAAUAUUUUAGCAACGUAAAAAUUUUGCGGUUCUAAAGCAGUACGAUGCAGCCUUUUUCAAGAACAUCAUACGGAUUUUUCCUACUCCAGGUAUGUUAAGGCUCUCCCUUAUUUCUUUUUGGCAUGGUCCAAGUUAUACAGAAGAAACGAGCAAACGCACGAUUUUCUUAAACGACUCUAUUCAUAGAAGUACGACUGGUCUCUAUGUUCUUGAUUCCCCAUGUGACAUAUUAUUCCAUCGUCUGUUCAUAGGUCUCAGAAAAAUACAUAUUUGAUAAAGUUUAUCCGAAAGGCAUAUUGAGUUUUAUGGCAUUCUGAGAAAAUCUUAUUAACGUAUUUUUUUGCAUUUCAUGCAUUCAUACAUGUACAUUGACAUAUGACUCAGACGACAUUAUAUACGCAUAUAUAUGUAUAUGGGAUAUGGGAAAAGGUUACGGCGUUAUAUAUGCACCACCACCAGAUCAGCUGGUAUACAUUGAUGAUUUGCCCACAGUGGCCGAGAUGAUAUGAUGGGAUGCCCUCAGAGGCUUGAUGAUGUUAUGAACACAUGUACCUAUGCACGACAUGACAUUCAUACGCAUAUGCAUAACACCAUAGGUAUUUCAUGAUUUACAGAGUUAUCCAGACUUACAGGCUGAGUCAUUUAAUCUAUAUUUCUUCCAUGUCUGUUAUGUACUUAUUUAUGGGCCUUACAUACUCGGUACAUUAUUCGUACUGACAUCCCUUUUGCUUGGGUCCGCUGUAUUUCAUGCCCUCAGGUCCCGAUAGACAGGUCGAGAGCCCUCCAAGUAGGCUAUCAGCUCAGCGGAAGAUGUUGGUGCGCUCCAUUUGCUUCGGAGUUGCUUGUUGGAUUAGUAUGAUUUAGACGUGUGUUGUUUGGUAUAGCGGGACUCUGUCCUAACCCUUUUGAAAAUUAUGUAUUCUUAGAGGAUUGUAGACAGAUGUCAUGUACGUAAAAGAUUGUAUGACCUUGUCGGCCCAUGUUCAAUACACGAG